rnacentral:rRNA from 1 species
AGCGAACGUUUGCGGCGGGCCUAACACAUGCAAGUCGAACGCACUAGCAAUAGUGAGUGGCGCACGGGUGCGUAACACGUGGGUAAUCAACCCUUCAGCCUGGGAUAACGACUCGAAAGGGUCGCUAAUACCGGAUACGGCGCGAGAGGCUUCGGCUUCUCACGAGAAAGCCACGCAAGGGGCACUGAAGGACGAGCCUGCGGCCCAUCAGCUAGUUGGUGAGGUAAGAGCUCACCAAGGCUAAGACGGGUAGCUGGUCUGAGAGGAUGAUCAGCCACACUGGAACUGAGACACGGUCCAGACUCCUACGGGAGGCAGCAGUGGGGAAUAUUGCGCAAUGGGCGAAAGCCUGACGCAGCCACGCCGCGUGAGCGAUGAAGGCCUCGGUC